CGUAUCCGGUCUUCAAUCGAGUGACCAGCGGAGGGAUCAUUACCAGAGUGCCCUAGGCUCUCCAACCCAUUGUGAACUUACCAAACGUUCCCUCGGCGGGCUCAGCGCGCGGUGGCCUCCGGGCCUCCGGGCGUCCGCCGGGGAAAACCAAACCCUGAUUUAAUCGUAUUUCUCUGAGGGGCGAAAGCCCGAAAACAAAAUGAAUCAAAACUUUCAACAACGGAUCUCUUGGCUCUGGCAUCGAUGAAGAACGCAGCGAAAUGCGAUAAGUAAUGUGAAUUGCAGAAUUCAGUGAAUCAUCGAAUCUUUGAACGCACAUUGCGCCCGCCGGCACUCCGGCGGGCAUGCCUGUCCGAGCGUCAUUUCAACCCUCAGGCCCACCCUUCCGGGGGAGCGGGCCUGGGAAUGGGGAAUCGGCGGCCCUCGCGGCCCCCGUCCCUCAAAUUCAGUGGCGGUCGCGCCGCAGCUUCCCUUGCGUAGUAGCACAACCUCGCACCGGAGAGCGGAACGACCACGCCGUGAAACCCCCAAUUUUUCAAGGUUGACCUCGGAUCAGGUAGGAAUACCCGCUGAACUUAAGCAUAUCAAAA
rnacentral:rRNA from 1 species